GCCAGUUGGGUCAAGCUGUCAAGCUUUUCAGAUCUUCUGGCUAUGUCCUCAGCCACCUGAGUGGUGGUUUUGUAAAUAUGAAUCAUCAUACUUGGCUGUUUGUCUGUUUACAGUGCUUGGAAUACAAUCCAGGGUCUUGAAUGUGCUAGGCCAGUGCCUCAUCCCUGGGCUUCAUCCUCAGCUUUGGCGUGUCUUACGAGGACACUAAAUACAUGGCUUGGAACUCAGCUUUAAGAUCUCCUUUCAUACUAUACCCACAAGGAACAGACAGAAGAAUAGCACAGGCUGCUGGCUCCCUUCCCAGCCUAGAACUGAAGAUGCCGAGGAAGGAGGAAGGCACUGUAUGGCUGUAGAGAUGAGAUCACAGGGAACUGCAGGACCACACAAAGGAAAGACAAACUACUAUAAUAGCAACAAUACCAAACCCCACCAGCUGUUGAAACAUACCAAGAUGAAGUCCAGCACUAUACUACCAAUGAACAAAGAAAGUGGUAACAGCAGGAAGGCUGGGAAGCUAAAAACUGAUGAACUAUGCAUUUAAGCUUCACUGUCCAGGAAGCUUACAUGCAAAGGGGGAGAUUGGAUCCUGGGAGGAAGGAUUGAAACCAGGAGUAGUGACCAGAAUGGACAACAGAGCUAAAGUACAAAUAAAAUACCACCAUAGUUUAUUUAAGUGGAGAAAGAGGACUGAGCAGUGGCAAGCAUCCACCACCCUGGGCUUCCAGAUUGUGGAUAUUAUGCAGUAAUCUGCCCCAGGUUCCUGUCUUCUUGACCUCCCUGCCAUGAUAACAGACUACUGAAAGGCAUAAAUCUUCAAGGUAAACUUCCAGAAGAGAGAUUGCUGGCACAAAGAGAAAAGGAAGGCUGUCUUCGAAGAACCAGAGAACACUGGCUCCAGCCUCCAACCCUUUUACAAAGGUGCAAAACUUUCAAUCACUUGUGAGAGGCCCAUAUCUCACUCCUGUUCCAGCUUGGGUUUUGGAAGGAAUACCAUUGUUUUGACCACAGAUGACAGGGUGUCAGUCACAGCAUGAGGAAAGGAGACUAAGACGUCCAUAAACAUUUGCUGAAGGAUGCCAUGCCUUUUACUCUUCAACUGGAUCUGACAUGUAAUUACAGUUACAUGCCAGUUAAUUAUUACUAUAAUUACUUAUCAAUUUAGCUGCAUAUCACCGUGUUAAUAAAAAUUAAGUGAUACGACAUGA